UACGUAGGAUGCAAGCGUUGUCCGGAAUUAUUGGGCGUAAAGAGCGUGCAGGCGGUUUGGAAAGUUGGACGUGAAAUUUUAGGGCUUAACCCUAAAGGGUCGUCCAAAACUCCCAGACUAGAGUGCAGGAGAGGAAAGCGGAAUUCCCGGUGUAGUGGUGAAAUGCGUAGAUAUCGGGAGGAACACCAGAGGCGAAGGCGGCUUUCUGGCCUGUAACUGACGCUGAGGCGCGAAGGCUGGGGUAGCGAACAGG
rnacentral:rRNA from 1 species